AUGGCACUGAAUUUGGGGCACCAAAAGGCUGAGAUGCCCCUCGAGAUAUUGAUGGUGCCUGUGGUGCUGGUGCAGCAGUUUGUGGGAGGAAGCUUUGCUGAGAUGCGUGUUGAGGUGGGAGAUGAGAAGACUGUGGAGGAACAUAGGAUGGUGGUGCUCCAUUCUGUGAAGCCGGUUGCAUAUAAAAGUUUGAUGGGCCUGAUGGUAGAUUUGGAGCUGCAUGUUGAGGUGGCUGUGGAGGAGCAAAUGAUGGUGCAGCAUGUUGAGGUGGCUGUGGAGGAGCAAAUGAUGGUGCAGCAUGUUGAGGUGGCUGUGGAGGAGCAAAUGAUGGCGCAGCAGCCUGAGAAAAUGAUGAUGGGUUCAUGGCUGCAGGAUAUGCUUGUGGCUGAGCAAACAUGGGAGCAGCAUGAGUAUUGGGUGCCACUGCUUGAGGAGCAUGAGUAA
rnacentral:rRNA from 1 species